GACUUGUUACCAGGUCAUGCUAAGUAAGAUUGUUUUUCUUUCUUAAGGGUGCAAAGGAAGGUGUGAAAAUGAACCUCUAUGCAGUGGGAUCAUAUAACAGACAGCUGAAAACAGUGUGGAUGUACAUUUGCUCAGAGUGCCCAAAAGGAAUCUAUUUAUUUGGAUCAAGACAGACAAAUGUAUCCUGCAUGACCAUCAAGGAAGCGCAUGACAUAAUUAUGCACAAAGCCUAUGGAUAGCCACAGCAUCCACGGCCAUGCUACUCAGUUGGUCAAAGGGAUGAGCAGAAAACGGUGGGAGUGACCUUUUCAACCGUUUUAACUGUUUAAAAAUGCUGUCAUGGUGAUAAGAAUUUCCUGUCCCCUGUAAAUACUUAAUGACAAAUUACUAAAUAAAUAAAUACAAUCAUGUAUAUGCUGAGUUGUUUGUACUAAUGAGGUUAUUUUUGUGUCUGCAUUUAUUUAAAAAAAAAAAAAAAAAAACCGUAUAUACUAGUCACUAGCUUCUGUCCAGCCUAAGUUGAGCUUUCCAUCUUUUUAAAUCAUGCUGAAGGCUAGGAAGGCACAUUCCUGAAAAAAAUAGCCUGGGAUAGUCCUUCUAGUUACCAGCUGGGGUAUGUUCCAGUUCUAUCAUUUUUGCUAGGUAACACUACCAGACUGGAACAUACUGUAGCCUCCAUAAAUGAUGAUUAUUUCAGGAGAUGUGUUCCUCCAUUUCCAGUCCCGAUAAUCAGAAUUUUAACUAACCCUUUGUUCUAGUACAGUAUGCAGUUACCGUAUCUGUCCCUCUGGUGGCCCUGAAUCCUAUGCAUUAUGCAUCCAUCUAAGCUAUAACAAUACCUGUAAGAUAGUUCACACACCCUAGUCUCUGUAAGUCGCCUUGGAUAAAGGCGUCUGCUAAAUAAACAAAUAAUAACAAUAAUAAUAAUAAUAAUAAUAAUAAUAAUAAUAAUAAUAAUAAUAUUUUAAGACUUGCAAUUGUUUUUGCUUUUUAAAAGAACAUUACACUAGGGAUGUGAUCAACAUGAUCUAUGUAUGGUGUUAGAUUUAAGAAUAGACCUGUUUAAACCUUUAAACUGUAAUAUAUUUAGAUUGUUUGUAACCAGUCACAAAUAAAUAGAGAAGAUGGUCAAGAAAUUCAACAAUACCAAAAUUAGUUUUUGCAUGUUAUUUUUCAUUUUAUGCAUGCUAUGUAAUAAUUUGUUGUUUUAUUAUAAAGCUGAAUCUCUACUUUAAUGUAUAACUUUCAAUAGAACAAUUAAAAAUUAUAAAAAUCAUUUCUUUGUGGUUCUUCUCUUUUUUUUAACUAACUAAAUACUUUUGUCUGCGACUGUAUAGUUACAAAUGGUUUUCUAUAUGCUAUGUCAAGAUUCCAACCAUUUUUAAAAUGAGUGCAAGUACAUCAAGUAAUUGUAUGCAGUGUGUAGAGGAACAUUGUUUGAAGCACAGUUAAAAUACAGUGUUAAUUAAACAGAUGUCUGUUCUUCCAGUACUGGAUUAUGCUGACGUUGUCUACAAAAUGGCCUCGAAAGCUGCUUAGGGGAAGCUUGAUGCUUUGUACCAUUCUGCUAUAAGAUUUAUAACUGCUGCUUCUUAUCUUACUCAUCACUGCGAUCUUUAUGUUAUGGUUGAAUGGCCUUCAUUGCACACUAGGCGAUUGGAUCAUUGGCUUAGGUUAGUUUAUAGAACCCUGAUUGGCAAAACCCCACUAUAUCUGUGCUACCUGUUACAGUUCUCUGCUUCAGUUUACAAUUUAAGAUCAGAUUAAUUUAUUAGAUUGGUUCUUCCCAGAGUGUCCACUGUUUUUGGGUGUAAUUCAUUUCAGUUUGCGGCUGCUUAUGACUCGAAUUAAUUUCAAAUCAAAUUAAAACUACAGAGUUUUUGUUUCGGAGGAUGUUUUUAAUCGGAAUCUGAAUUCACUAGUGUCUGAUGCAUGUGUAUGUACUUGUUAAUGUGUU